CCGACCAUUUAACUUUUGAGGGAGGGGGGGGGGUGAUUUACUGCUGGCAUGGAAUUUUUUUUCUGGGAUCGUUAUGUGCAAGAUAUUUUUUUUAUCACCAUCACCAUGUACGAUUUUUUUUUUGCCACACUUUCUUUCGCAGCAUUUUUUUUUUUCAAUAGCUUAUACUAUUUAGAUUAUAGUUAACGUUGAGUUUUUUAGCUUCAUGCAUUGCUCUUAAUAAUACAUUUUGCUAUGAGGUAUAACAUUUGGUUCAGUGCCUUUUUUAAGGAUGUGCAACUGGAAAAGUUCCAGUCGGCAAGUCUGUAUCCAGGGCCGUAGCUAGCAUGUAUAGUUGGGGGGGGGGGAGGGGGUGUAGGCCAAAAAUUUCCGAAUGACGAAAAUAAUUUCCGAAUAUAUCAUGGCAUACUAUUAGCCAUGAAGGUGUUUGCUAUUCGGAAAAUGAAGACGCAAUUUACAAUUAUCAAAAAUAUGCAUAAUUUACGCACAGACAUAUUAC